CUACGGGAGGCAGCAGUGGGGAAUUUUGGGCAAUGGGCGAAAGCCUGACCCAGCAACGCCGCGUGAAGGAUGAAAUCCUUCGGGAUGUAAACUUCGCAAGAACGGGAAGAAUAAGUAAGGGUUAAUAUCUCCUACGAUGACGGUACUGUUUGUAAGCUCCGGCUAACUCCGUGCCAGCAGCCGCGGUAAUACGGGGGGAGCAAGCGUUGUUCGGAUUUACUGGGCGUAAAGGGCGCGUAGGCGGCCACCGCAAGUCGACUGUGAAAUCUCCGGGCUUAACCCGGAAAGGUCAGCCGAUACUGCGGGGCUAGAGUGCAGAAGGGGCAACUGGAAUUCUCGGUGUAGCGGUGAAAUGCGUAGAUAUCGAGAGGAACACCUGCGGCGAAGGCGGGUUGCUGGGCUGACACUGACGCUGAGGCGCGAAAGCUAGGGGAGCGAACGGGAUUAGAUACCCCGGUAGUCCUAGCCUUAAACGAUGAAUGCUUGGUGUCUGGGGUUUUAUAGUCCCCGGGUGCCGUCGCUAACGCUUUAAGCAUUCCGCCUGGGGAGUACGGUCGCAAGACUGAAACUCAAAGGAAUUGACGGGGACCCGCACAAGCGGUGGAGCAUGUGGUUUAAUUCGACGCAACGCGAAGAACCUUACCUGGGCUAGAAUGCCUUCGACAGCCGUAGAGAUACGGUCUCUUGGGUAAAACCAAGCGAAGUGCAAGGUGCUGCAUGGCUGUCGUCAGCUCGUGUCGUGAGAUGUUGGGUUAAGUCCCGCAACGAGCGCAACCCUUAUCAAUAGUUGCCAGCGGUUCGGCCGGGCACUCUAUUGAGACUGCCGUUGACAAAACGGAGGAAGGUGGGGAUGACGUCAAGUCCUCAUGGCCUUUAUGUCCAGGGCUACACACGUGCUACAAUGGCGAGUACAAAGCGCUGCAAACCUGCAAGGGGGAGCCAAUCGCAAAAAGCUCGUCUCAGUUCGGAUUGGAGUCUGCAACUCGACUCCAUGAAGUUGGAAUCGCUAG
rnacentral:rRNA from 1 species